CCCCGGAUAGCUGUUUCAGCAUCAGCCUUUUAAGCUGAAGGUAGUAAUAAACAUUACUUCUGGGGA
rnacentral:tRNA from 1 species